AGAGGGCAAAGGAGGACAGGGACAAGAGAUAACUAGUGUUGGUUUUACUUGAAAGGGGGCAAGGUAAGGGGAGAGCAGCUGGAGCCCUUUUCUUCUAGUCCCUGGCAUCACCACCUGGAAUGGAUCCUCAGACCAGAGAACAAGAAGUCAGUCUACCCCACCCUGAGAUAGAGAAGAGGGAUGGAAAGGUAAGGAGUGGAGGAAGACGCCCAGAGGCUGGAGAACAAGCCAAUGUGACCACAAGGACACAUGACUGAAUGCGAAGUCACAAGAUCACAACCUACAUCAUAUUUCAAGGGGCAGCCAACAGAGCCUGGUGGCUUCCUGGGGCCUAGACUAAAUUCAGGAACUUGGAAUUGCCAAUCAUUGCAAAGUCGUCUCAAGUAGCAGAGGACUCCCUCAAACUGUUGAGGACAGCAGACAUAGGGUAAAGCAUGACAGCAACCAAAACCCCAUACAUAUAAUUUUGAAUAAUUCAGUGUCUCACAGAAGAGCCAAACAUUGAAAUACAAUAAAAAAGCUAGGAAACUCUACUGUCUUGUUCAUUCCCAAGCCAUCUUCACCUCCUACUCCCUUCUCUGCAAGGGUAGUCCCUCCCAAACUCUGUGUAGCUUUUGGCCUAAAAGAAUCACUCCCUUCUAGGCAUGUUUUUCUAGGCCAAGAAUGGUCACAGACCCCAAAGUGUUAACAUGGAACAGAGGGAAAGCAGCUUAGUGGGUAGGUUGGAGAUUCAAAUUAAAAGCAAACUAGAAGACCACUACUAGGUCUGUAUUCAAAAGAGAUCAAAGAAAAAGGAAAAGGACCUAUAUGUAUGAA